rnacentral:rRNA from 1 species
UGGGGAAUCUUGCGCAAUGCGCGAAAGCGUGACGCAGCAACGCCGCGUGGGGGAAGAAGGCCUUCGGGUUGUAAACCCCUUUCAGUUGGGACGAAGCUCCGUCGGUGAAUAGCCGGCUGGAGUGACGGUACCUUCACAAGAAGCCCCGGCUAACUACGUGCCAGCAGCCGCGGUAAUACGUAGGGGGCUAGCGUUGUCCGGAAUCAUUGGGCGUAAAGAGCGUGUAGGCGGCCCGGUAAGUCCGCUGUGAAAGUCGGGGGCUCAACCCUCGAAAGCCGGUGGAUACUGUCGGGCUAGAGUGCGGAAGAGGCGAGUGGAAUUCCUGGUGUAGCAGUGAAAUGCGCAGAUAUCAGGAGGAACACCGAUUGCGAAGGCAGCUCGCUGGGACGUAACUGACGCUGAGACGCGAAAGCGUGGGGAGCAAACAGG